rnacentral:rRNA from 1 species
ACCCGCACAAGCGGUGGAUUAUGUGGAUUAAUUCGAUGCAACGCGAAAAACCUUACCUACCCUUGACAUGUCCUGAAGCCUGGAGAGAGUCCGGGUGUGCCCGAAAGGGAACGGGAACACAGGUGCUGCAUGGCUGUCGUCAGCUCGUGUCGUGAGAUGUUGGGUUAAGUCCCGCAACGAGCGCAACCCUUGUCAUUAGUUGCUACAUUUAGUUGGGCACUCUAAUGAGACUGCCGGUGACAAACCGGAGGAAGGUGGGGAUGACGUCAAGUCCUCAUGGCCCUUAUGGGUAGGGCUUCACACGUAAUACAAUGGCGCGUACAGAGGGUUGCCAAGCCGCGAGGUGGAGCCAAUCCCAGAAAGCGCGUCGUAGUCCGGAUUGCAGUCUGCAACUCGACUGCAUGAAGUCGGAAUCGCUAGUAAUCGCGGAUCAGCAUGUCGCGGUGAAUACGUUCCCGGGUCUU